rnacentral:rRNA from 1 species
UACGUAGGGUGCGAGCGUUGUCCGGAAUUACUGGGCGUAAAGAGCUCGUAGGUGGUUUGUCGCGUUGUUCGUGAAAUCUCACGGCUUAACUGUGAGCGUGCGGGCGAUACGGGCAGACUGGAGUACUGCAGGGGAGACUGGAAUUCCUGGUGUAGCGGUGGAAUGCGCAGAUAUCAGGAGGAACACCGGUGGCGAAGGCGGGUCUCUGGGCAGAAACUGACGCUGAGACGCGAAAGCGUGGGGAGCGAACAGG